rnacentral:lncRNA from 1 species
CCAAAUUAAAGCAAGAUGAAUAUAAAUAUCUCACAUCACACGGGAAUCCAAACCCUAGCUGCCAGCCCCACCAAAGAAGAAAAAUUAGACGCCAGAUAAAGAGGCCGACCACCGACCACCGUCGCACUGGAGCCACUGUCGACCGCCAAAAAAAGUAAAAACUUAUCCUACUCGCUCAGAAUUUGAUUCUGAGUACCCUCAUGGCUAAAUCGGAGCAAAAAGGACGGCAGGUAGUCAGAAAUCGCGAGCGAAGCCCGGCAGAGCCGCCGC